rnacentral:tRNA from 1 species
GGUAGUAGCUCAAUGGUGGAGCGCUCACCUAGCACGUGCGAGGCCCUGGGUUCGAUCCUCAGCACCA